AUAAUUUAAUUUUGGAUGUAACGCGUCUUCUGAUUGGCCGACGUUAUUUUGUUAUCAGACCAUAGACAUAAUUUAGUCAUGUGACCGUGACGUCAUCAACGUUUUUUCAAGGUUUUCUACGGUUUAAAAUGGAAUUAGAAUUAAAUUAUAAGAAAUGACUGUAAUAUUUUUUUCUGUCUAUUCGAAUAACAUGAAAAAUGUGGUGCACACUGUUAAAUAACCCGC
rnacentral:lncRNA from 1 species